AUUGAACGCUGGCGGCAUGCUCUACACAUGCAAGUCGAACGGUAACAGGCCGCAAGGUGCUGACGAGUGGCGAACGGGUGAGUAAUGCAUCGGAACGUGCCCAGUCGUGGGGGAUAACUACUCGAAAGAGUAGCUAAUACCGCAUACGAUCUAUGGAUGAAAGCGGGGGACCGUAAGGCCUCGCGCGAUUGGAGCGGCCGAUGUCAGAUUAGGUAGUUGGUGGGGUAAAGGCUCACCAAGCCAACGAUCUGUAGCUGGUCUGAGAGGACGACCAGCCACACUGGGACUGAGACACGGCCCAGACUCCUACGGGAGGCAGCAGUGGGGAAUUUUGGACAAUGGGCGCAAGCCUGAUCCAGCAAUGCCGUGUGCAGGAAGAAGGCCUUCGGGUUGUAAACUGCUUUUGUACGGAACGAAACGGCUCUGGUUAAUACCCGGGGCUAAUGACGGUACCGUAAGAAUAAGCACCGGCUAACUACGUG
rnacentral:rRNA from 1 species